GAGAAUUUAAUGGAAGCUCCAUAUGCAACAGUGUGAGUGGAUCCAAAGCCUUACAACCAUGUCAUCAACACUCCUCUCUCUCGUCAACUCCUUUUUUCCCUUUCAGUACCAGCUAGAUUCUCCUAGAACUUUCUAGUCAGCAUGAGUCUGCCAGCAUCCCCAAGGUCACAAACCAAGAGCUUACAUUCUCAGAGAACAGCAGAGACUCCUCCAAUUCGGAAGCACUCCAGCAAGGGUCUGAUUGCCUGGCCUGGGUCCCAUUGGUGCUGUGCCAGAGGCAGGAUGACCAGCUCCUGACUCAACAUACAGCUUGGGAGCUUGACAUUGGUCAUGGUGGGCAUAUUUACACCAUGAAAAUCAGCAAAUGUUAUCAAUCAAGACUCCUCUCAACAUUGUUUUUAAAUAUUUACCAGGGUACCACUGUGGGUUGGGAAAUGCCCAUCAUAGGUUCAACCUAGGUCCUGAGCCAACCUGUCCAAAGUAGCCCCCAAGAACCUAUGGUGCAGAGGAGGGUCUCUCUGAGUUACCUGGUGGCUCAGUGGGUCAAAGAUCCAGCAUUGCCACUACUGUGGCUCAGGUCACUGCUGUGGCGAGAGUUCAGUCCCUGGGCCAGGGACUUCCACAUGCCAUGGGUGCAGCCAAAAAAAGAGAAGAGAAAAAGAAGGCUGUCCAUCUCUGGAGGAAGAGUUGGUCUUGUUAUCAGAAUUGGGAGAUGUUGUCUGAAGACAAGCUACUGAAACCCAUUAUAGGGAAACGUCUAAGAAAAUAGUCCCAGAUCUUGGGGAACAGGUGGUUGGUGACCUGGAGAGAAAUGAUGAGGUCAGGGAUAAACAAGUUGAGUAAGAAGCACCUGAACACCUACCAUCUUGAGUAAGGCAGAAACCUUCUCCUGAAGAAACAGAUACUCAAAAGAGAGAGACGGUGAAUCAAGUACAAAUGUAAGUGCCACGGAAGGACACAAACCACAUCCACAUCGCUGGAAUUCUAUCUACUGCUUCAAACUGUAGUGCCCUGCACUUCUCCAGCUCUUUGCUUUACCCAAGAAGAUGCUGGGUCUACAAAGGGAAUCCACACACACCACACCUGCCAGGACAGGUGAGGAGAAGAGAAGCAGUGAGAUCUGAGGUUUGUGAUUAGGGCUGUGAUCUGAGAAGUGAGAACUGACAAAGCCUGCCUUGGUGAAUGAGGACAAGAAAGAAGGCAGGUUGGACAUGGCUGUCCAUGUGAUGGAUGGGAAGGAAGUUUCGUUCUCCUGGAGCCCAGAGGAUUCAAAUCCCAAGUCUUCUGCUCAGAGACGUACAGCUGUGCCUGCAUGACCAGUCUCAGGGCUUGAUGGCAGGACUGCUGAGGCAGGCAGAUGAUGGCCCCCCAGACCUAUGAAGACGAUACCUUACCUGGCACAAUGGGGUUUGCAGAUGUGAUUAAGGUGAAAUUGCAGAUGUGAUUAAGGUGAAAUUGGGAGAUUCAGAGUUCCCAUUGUGACUCAGCAGGUUAAGAAACUGACUAGUCUCCAUGAGGAUGUGAGUUCCAUCCCUGGCCUCACUCAGUGGGUUAAGGAUCUGGCAUUGCCGUGAGCUGUGGUAUAGGUUGCAGACACAGCUCAGAUCUGGCAUUGCUGUGGCUGUGUUGUAGGCUGGCAGCUGUAGCUCCUAUUCAACCUCUAGCCUGGGAAAUUUCAUAUGCUGCAGGUGUGGCCCUAAAGAGACAAGAAGGAAGGGAGGGAGGGAUGGAGGGAGGAAUGGAGGGAUGGAGAGAGGUGUGGAGGGAGGAAUAGAGGGAGGGUGGAGGGAGGAAUGGAGGAGAAAGGAAGGGAGGAAUGGAGGGAGGGAGGAGGAAGGCAGGAGAGUCAGAGAAGUGACAUACUGCUGACUUGGAGUCACACAUCAAGGAAGGUUGGUGUUUUAGAAGAAGGCUUCAAAAGCUGGAAAAGAAGAGACAGUCUUCCCUGAGGGCCUCAGAAGGAACCUAGCUCUGCUGAUGGCUCAAUUUUAGCCCAGUGAGACCCAUUUUGGACUUCCAACCUCCAGAACCAUACCAUAAUAAAUCUGUGUUGUUUUAAGUCACUAUGUGUGUGGCAAUUUGUUACAGCCACAACAGGCAACAAACACAACUCUUAAAGCCAUCAGGACAACUAUGGCACUAGACCACACUCUUCUCAGACCAGGCCAUGUGAACUGAGGACAAUGAAGAGAACCAAAUUCCUGCUAGGGUUUGUGGACCCAGAGGGUGGCCUGUGGUGAUGCUCCGUGGUGGGUUUCCAUGAGAUUGAGGAGGUACUCUGACCUGAGACUGGGUUAUCAGUAUGCUAUGUUGGGCCAGGAGGGGGCGAGGGAGCUUCCAGAAGUGCUGUUUACCUUCAUGCAUGGGGUGUCAAAUUCCACCA
rnacentral:lncRNA from 1 species